rnacentral:rRNA from 1 species
AGAGUUUGAUCAUGGCUCAGAUUGAACGCCGGCGGUAUGCUUAACACAUGCAAGUCGAACGCGAAAGCACCUUCGGGUGUAAGUAGAGUGGCGGACGGGUGAGUAAGGCAUGGGAAUCUGCCCUAUAGCGGGGGAUAACUUGGGGAAACCCAUGCUAAUACCGCAUACACCUACGGGUAAAAGAUGGCCUCUUCUUGAAAGCUAUUACUAUAGGAUGAGCCCAUGUAAGAUUAGCUAGUUGGUAGGGUAAAAGCCUACCAAGGCUACGAUCUUUAGCUGGUCUGAGAGGACGAUCAGCCACACUGGGACUGAGACACGGCCCAGACUCCUACGGGAGGCAGCAGUGGGGAAUAUUGGACAAUGGGGGCAACCCUGAUCCAGCAAUACCGCGUGUGUGAAGAAGGCCUGCGGGUUGUAAAGCACUUUUAUCUGUGAGGAAGGGUUUAAUGUUAAUACCAUUAGACAU